rnacentral:lncRNA from 1 species
UUUUUCGUUUAAUCUAAAGGAACUAUUUUUGACAGCUGGUUGUAAGCAAGCAACAGUUUUACAGAGCUUAACGCAUCCCUAGGAAAUAGAAAAAAUGUGCAUUCCCUGUCCCUGCUAGAAGCACGUCUUGGCAACAAGCGGUGCCUUCUCCAGGAAUCUUGAGCCGCCUUAACCUUGCGGGAUGAGGUUACACCGUGUCUGGGCUUCAGUGGCCAACCUGGGUUAAAAAACAUUCCCAGUGGUCCUCCCCUCCCGCUCCCACGCUGAGCGUUGCUGCUCCGUCAGGUGCGCCAGCCUCCGUCCAGCGGUUAUGUAUUUUCCAGUGGCACUUUGUGAAAGAUUAUCUGCCCUUUGUCAGUGGGAUGAGGCUGGCCUCCGUUUGAAUUCGAAAUGUGGAAACCUCUCUGCUCACUUGUCAGACGAGCUCUAGUUUGGAUGUCGCAAAUGCAGUUUGAUAUCUCCAGCAGACUGUCUCCUCUCUCUUCUGAGCUGUCUGCUGGAGCGAGUAAAAAGAAUUUAGGUAAAAGAAUGAAAAAGGCUAAACUGCUUAACCAUGAAGCAGGGCUGGGCUGAUAUAGGAUGCUGCUGUCUGUUAUAUUUCUAGGCUGCAGCAUCAGACUGAGGGUGAAAUAAGCUACAGUUUGCUUCAACUCACGGGGCUCCAAAGGUUCUGAUUUAUAGCUGCAUUUUACCCAUACAAAAUUUUCUCACGUUUCCCAUAUUUCUCAUAUUUCUUUUCUCUAUGUUCUUGUAUUGUCGAACCCAAACAAAUAAUUAAGCAGCAGAACAACAGUUCUUUUUUCUACUUGGUUUCUUAUAUUUGAGGCCGUAGGCGCACUUUUGCUCAUGUUUUUCAGUUAUUUGCCCCAAAUGUGAAAGCUAGAGAUGUAUUUGUUUAGAAACAAGCCCCGCAAAAUAAAAGCUGAGUGGCUCACCUCA